GACGAACGCUGGCGGCGUGCCUAAUACAUGCAAGUCGAACGCUUCUUUCCUCCCGAGUGCUUGCACUCAAUUGGAAAGAGGAGUGGCGGACGGGUGAGUAACACGUGGGUAACCUACCCAUCAGAGGGGGAUGACACUUGGAAACAGGUGCUAAUACCGCAUAACAGUUUAUGCCGCAUGGCAUAAGAGUGAAAGGCGCUUUCGGGUGUCGCUGAUGGAUGGACCCGCGGUGCAUUAGCUAGUUGGUGAGGUAACGGCUCACCAAGGCCACGAUGCAUAGCCGACCUGAGAGGGUGAUAGGCCACACUGGGACUGAGACACGGCCCAGACUCCUACGGGAGGCAGCAGUAGGGAAUCUUCGGCAAUGGACGAAAGUCUGACCGAGCAACGCCGCGUGAGUGAAGAAGGUUUUCGGAUCGUAAAACUCUGUUGUUAGAGAAGAACAAGGACGUUAGUAACUGAACGUCCCCUGACGGUAUCUAACCAGAAAGCCACGGCUAACUACGUG
rnacentral:rRNA from 1 species